AUUGAACGCUGGCGGCAUGCCUUACACAUGCAAGUCGAACGGCAGCACGGGAGCAAUCCUGGUGGCGAGUGGCGAACGGGUGAGUAAUAUAUCGGAACGUGCCCAGUCGUGGGGAUAACGUAGCGAAAGCUACGCUAAUACCGCAUACGAUCUAUGGAUGAAAGCGGGGGAUCGCAAGACCUCGCGCGAUUGGAGCGGCCGAUAUCAGAUUAGGUAGUUGGUGAGGUAAAGGCUCACCAAGCCGACGAUCUGUAGCUGGUCUGAGAGGACGACCAGCCACACUGGGACUGAGACACGGCCCAGACUCCUACGGAGGCAGCAGUGGGGGAAUUUUUGGACAAUGGGCGCAAGCCUGAUCCAGCAAUGCCGCGUGCAGGAUGAAGGCC
rnacentral:rRNA from 1 species